rnacentral:lncRNA from 1 species
AUUCGUAAACUUUUCAGAACUUAAAACGAAUGUAUAGUCUUCGAAAUAACAGCGAGACAUCGCCAAAGUUACAAUCGAAACUAUACGAACAACUAUCCAAACGCGACAAUAAAAUUUCAAUGAAUAUUUACAUCCUGCUCGUCGAUUGGCCCCGACGAACACAUCAGCCAUCUUAAACAAACACACCCUGAUCAUUCUGAUCCUCAAACAUCCGACACAAGGAUAAAAGCGCGCUAUAUAAAAAAUCCGAAAUUUUGGUCAAGCACUUCUAGUUGCCUUAAAAUUUGUCUCUGGAUAGAUGCUCGAUUCACACCAUACAAGUCGUAUAAGCUGAGAACCUAUCGCGGACUUUAAAUCGGUAUGAAUCAGGUUGAAAUCGCAAUAGGAAAAUCGAUAGCCGGCUAGUCACCGCAUAAAUCUUAAAACCGAAAGUAAACCUAGGUCUUGCCCUAAACCCAGCACACUGGUCUCUAACAUCUCAAGACAUGAUAUCUAAAAAUUGAUAUGAGAUCUUAAUACAUGUCUCUCUGUCCAUAUCUUAGCGUUCAUGGAACUUCGUAAAAAUAAAUUAGUAACUUUUACGAAAAUUCACAUCUCGAGCAAACCAACAGAUUGAACGUCUCGCUAGAACUGAAUAUGAGACAACAACUCAUAUUUAUUUCAGACUUGUUCAGAACAAUGUAGUUCGAUAAAUAUUCAACAUAUAUAAAACCGCAAAGCUAUAGGGAUUCGAAGCCACCAACGGCCAGUCCUGAGAAAAACAAAGCGGCCAAACAGGCCAACACAAAGUCUCAACAUAAAGGCCACACUCGGCCAGAUACAGAUAAUAAAGGCCACACUCUGCCAUAAACACAAGAUAGGGGGAAACCUCUUCCCGUCAAAUGCUAACUUCGAUUCUCACAGAUCAAAGUUAAAACCCCCGGACAUGGAAGCUCCGAAUGCAUCUGCGGGACAAUCCACUUCCUCAUC